CGGACGGGUGAGUAACACGUUGGAACCUGCCCAAUGAGAUAAGCCACCGAAAAGGGUGGUCUAAUACUUCAUAAUAUCCAUCUCGUAUGGAUUAAAGCUUUAUGCGCUUUGGGAGGGGCCUGCGUGACAUUAGCUUGUUGGUGAGGUAAAAGCUCACCAAGGCUUCGAUGUUUAACUGGUUUGAGAGGAUGACCAGUCACACUGGGACUGAGAUACGGCCCAGACUCCUACGGGAGGCAGCAGUAAGGAAUCUUCCACAAUGGGGCAACCCUGAUGGAGCAAUACCGCGUGCAGGAUGAAGCGUUUCGGCGUGUAAACUGCUUUAUCACCGAAGAUUAUGACUGUAGGUGAAGAAUAAGGACCGGCUAACUACGUG
rnacentral:rRNA from 1 species